ACAGGGCUUAGGUGCCCCAACACUUUGCACCCUUUUUUUGUUCUUCUUAUUCUUCUUCUGUUUCUUAAAGGGUCGACGUCCAGAAGAAGAUCCUCCAACAACAUUCACUAACUUUUUGUAGAGCUGGUGAUCCUUCUCAAAGUUCUAUAGUAAUCCCAACAAAUCAUGGUAGUUGACUGCAGGCUUUGUCGUUCGAAAGUCAGUAAGAAAAGGAAGAUAGGACUUGGGCAAAG
rnacentral:lncRNA from 1 species